AGGGACGUAUGAGCAGGUCAGAUGGCAGGCUUUCCACGGACCUGCUGCUGCUGCUGCUGCCUCGGGUUAAAUUAAAUGACAUCCAAGGAAUGAAGACCUUAGACCUGCGCUGUCCAAUACAAUAGCUACAAGCCACGGGGCAUGGGUUCCAGCCCUGGUCCGGGAGGAUACCACCUGCCACGGAGCAACUAAGCUGGUGCACCACAACUGCUGAGCCUGCGCUC